UACGUAGGUGGCAAGCGUUAUCCGGAAUUAUUGGGCGUAAAGCGCGCGCAGGUGGUUUCUUAAGUCUGAUGUGAAAGCCCACGGCUCAACCGUGGAGGGUCAUUGGAAACUGGGAGACUUGAGUGCAGAAGAGGAAAGUGGAAUUCCAUGUGUAGCGGUGAAAUGCGUAGAGAUAUGGAGGAACACCAGUGGCGAAGGCGGCGAUCUGGGCAGAUACUGACGCUGAGGUGCGAAAGCGUGGGGAGCAAACAGG
rnacentral:rRNA from 1 species